AUGCGGGGUUUGAGUAGGCUUGGCGUCGGGCUCACGGUGGUGUCCGCGGUCCUCCUCCUCGCGCUCGCCGCGGAGCUCUACUACCUCCUCGUGCACAAGCGCCGCCAGCGACGACGCGCCGCCGCCGUCUCCGACGCGGCCUCCUCGCCCUCCUCCUCCUCCCGCGAGCUGCUCCAGCUCUUCUGCUUCAAGAAGCCGCCCGCACUCGCCUCCACCUACGCGCAGGAGCCGACCGAAGCCGUGGCCGAGGUCGUCGUCGUCGACGACGACGACGAGACGGUGGAGGCGCAGCUGAUGCGGCUCGGCAGCCUCGUCGGCCCGCCGCGGCUGCUCUUCACCAUCAAGGAGGAGACCAAGGAGGACCUCGAGUCCGAGGGCGGCCGGAGCAGGUGCGGGAGGAGCCGGAGCCUCGGCGACCUGCUGCAUUGCUCCGAGACGCCGUACCUCACGCCCGCCUCCUCGCCCCUCCCGCCGGCCAUGGAGAAAUCGUACAACCCCCUGUUCGAGUCGCCGGCGGCGAGCCCAGCCGCGGUGGCGGCGUCGCCGCCGCCCAAGCUCCAGUUCCUCAAGGACGCGGAGGAGAAGCUGUACCGGCGGGCACUGGCCGAGGAGGCGAAGAGGGCGCGGGGGUCGCCGGCGGCCGGCGAGGAGGACUGCGGCGGGUACAUCACCAUCGUGGUGGGGAAGAACACCCGAGUCAUCCCCUUGCCCUCGCCUCCCGGCAGCGCUUGA
rnacentral:rRNA from 1 species